rnacentral:tRNA from 1 species
CAAGGUAGCUCAGUUGGAAGAGCGCUGAGCUUUUAACUCUGUGGUCGCGGGUUCGAGCCCCGCCCG